rnacentral:rRNA from 1 species
GACUUCUGGUUUAAUGUGCCUGGCCCGCGGUCGCAAGACAUGUGAGUGCCGGUGCGCGUUUACCAUCCUUCCAGGAAACGUGCCUGCCCUUAACUGGGUGUGGUACGGGAUCUGGAUCAUUUACUUUGAAAAAAUUAGAGUGUUUAAAGCAGGCUUUCGCUAUGAAUACAUUAGCAUGGAAUAAUAAUUUAGGACUUUGGUUCUAUUUUGUUGGUUUCUAGGACUGAAGUAAUGAUUGAUAGGGAUAGUUGGGGGUGCUAGUAUUCAGCGGCCAGAGGUGAAAUUCUCGGAUUCGCUGAAGACUAACUUAUGCGAAAGCAUU